GGGGGAGCGCUGCCGGGCUGCAGGCGAUCGUUUUGGCGCAACGGCAUCGGCGGCGUCACGGCCCCAGCGUUCCACCCGGGCUUCUGCAGGACGGGUCUCCAUGCACCGAGAAAGGAGAACGCCCGCGGCCGCAGCCCGUCCCUCCCGCGGCUCCCGGCUGCAAAACAUCUGUGUUCCCAGACAGAAGAAUAGCAGAGCUACUUAGAGCAGUUCCAUUACCCAAAAAAGCUGUCUCUAAGGUCUGUGGCAUUUGACAGACCCCCCUCAGGUUUGAUCGCACCAGAGGAACAAGCAAAACCUUCCGAAGUAGAAGCUGAAGUUUUAGAAGCUCACCUAAAGUGAAACAAGAUGGACACCCUUUGAGGCUGCACAGCAACAGGGCUACCUUGGAGCUAGCAGCAGUGAUAGCAGCUGAGGAAAAGCCCUCUUAUCAGCACUGCACAUUGCCUGCACAACAGAUACCGUGGUGGGAUAAGGAGGAUGGAUAGAGCAAGCUGUUACUGUGGAAAAAUAACAUAAGGUCCUCUACCCUAUACUCAGUGAGUUACCUGCUGCCACAGCAAACUGAAUGAAAGUUGGAAAACUGGGGGAGUUGAAUUGAGUGACCUGCUGCUGCUCAGGGACCAUCUGCUAACUUGUUCCUAUUGAGAGCAGCAGGACUCUGCCUUCUAUUUCUGACCUCACAAUGCAUAUGAAGAGGCCAUCUGAGACAACUGUGAGAAACUUUCAACACUUAUUUCCUUAGUUCAUCCAGUACAUCUGGCUUCUAAAGCAGUGAUUUCAAAAUCCAGGGAAAUCCUACUGGAGAGAAAACCAAUGUUCUUACUUUUCAAGAGACCAGUGUGGAAUUUUCCAGAUGAUUACAGAAGAUUUUCUGGUUGUUCAAACUCCCCUACUUUCUCAGUUAAGUGACUCUCCUUAAAAUCAACAAUUGCCUACUAUGAACGAUGCAGAGUUUGACCACCAGAAGUUCUCCUGGAUGAACUAUGUUCCUAGAGACCUUUCUCUUAGUUGCCUGCAAAAGCAAGUCAACUUCUGUUAACUUUGCAACAGAGCUCUCACUGAAAUUACCUCUGACUGUGAGGCUUUAAAUAUUGAGACGGAACAAUGAUAACUCCCUGCUUUAAAAUGGCACACAUCAGUCAUCAAAGCUUGACAGCUGCCGAGUAAGAAAUACUGCAGAAUCAAUUCAAUUUUCAUUCUGUAAAGUCUUGUUAUCGAGAAGGAUCUCAUCUACCAACUAAGAUAUACUUGGUUUUAGAUUCCAUCAACUAUCCUGUUAAUUUUUUUUUCCUGAUACUAAUAUUUGGACUUCAUAAAUCUGAGCUGUUUUAAAAAUUACUGAAAGUUCUACCAAAGCAAGAAAGUUUAAUCUUAAAGGGCUUUAGAGCAAAUAUUUCCAAGAAUAACACAAUCACCUAGCAAUUAAAAUCAAAGACCUUCCUUAUUCUACACAUAGUCAACUUUAAACCAUUUACUCAUUUUUUUCUUUAAAAAUAAAUUCUACAUUAAUUGUUUUUAUGAUACAGUAAGUCUUAACUGCAUUAUUAUAGUUAGAGUUGUAAACUGGUAUAAACGUCAUACAUAGAAUCAGCUACAAUCUUAUGAAUAGUAACUUAAGGCUGUCAUAAAUAUGAAUGCUGUUAUGAAAUUGAGAAUGAAAACUAUCAAAACUGCUAUGUAUUUGAAAUUAAACUGGCUGUCAAUUGCACAUAAUCUUUCAUUAUUAAACCUUACCCUACCUUA